GCAGGUCUUGAACUUUAUUGUUGGUUUCCUUAGCACAGUGAAUCUGUUGAAAACUGUCUUUUAAAUUUUUUCACUGUGGUAAAAUAUAAAUAAAAUACACCAUUUUAACCAUUUUCCCCAGAAGAGGUUUUACUUCAACAUUUGACAAACAUCUUAAGGGCAAAGUUGUAACGAGGCCCAAGUUUCCGGUGUUGUCACUGCAGCCUUGUGAGACGACCAGCAGUUCAGCUGGGUUCUCGGAUUCCCAGUAGCAACACUGAACAUGGACGUGAUGCUAGAGGUGGCAUAACUAUUUUAUAGUGACAAGGAUGAAGGUCACAUACAAAGUAUGAAAGCCACAAGAAUCCGGAUCCAUGAGGGCAUCAUGGGGCUGCAUUACCAGCCUUGGACUGCUGACCUCCAGACUUUUUAAUGCGAGAAAAAUAAAACCAGUCACUUGUCGUUUAA